GAUGAACGCUGGCGGCGUGCUUAACACAUGCAAGUCGAACGGUGAAGGCGGAGCUUGCUCUGCUGGAUCAGUGGCGAACGGGUGAGUAACACGUGAGCAAUCUGCCCCUGACUCUGGGAUAAGCGCUGGAAACGGCGUCUAAUACUGGAUACGAGCUGCGAAGGCAUCUUCAGCAGCUGGGAAGAAUUUCGGUCAGGGAUGAGCUCGCGGCCUAUCAGCUUGUUGGUGAGGUAAUGGCUCACCAAGGCGUCGACGGGUAGCCGGCCUGAGAGGGUGACCGGCCACACUGGGACUGAGAGACGGCCCAGACUCCUACGGGAGGCAGCAGUGGGGAAUAUUGCACAAUGGGCGAAAGCCUGAUGCAGCAACGCCGCGUGAGGGACGACGGCCUUCGGGUUGUAAACCUAUUUUAGCAGGGAAGAAGCGAAAGUGACGGUACCUGCAGAAAAAGCGCCGGCUAACUACGUG
rnacentral:rRNA from 1 species